rnacentral:rRNA from 1 species
AGAUUGAACGCUGGCGGCAUGCUUUACACAUGCAAGUCGAACGGUAACAGGCCGCAAGGUGCUGACGAGUGGCGAACGGGUGAGUAAUGUAUCGGAACGUGCCCAGUCGUGGGGGAUAACGCAGCGAAAGCUGCGCUAAUACCGCAUACGAUCUAUGGAUGAAAGCGGGGGACCGUAAGGCCUCGCGCGAUUGGAGCGGCCGAUAUCAGAUUAGGUAGUUGGUGGGGUAAAGGCUCACCAAGCCAACGAUCAGUAGCUGGUCUGAGAGGAUGACCAGCCACAUUGGGACUGAGACACGGCCCAAACUCCUA